rnacentral:rRNA from 1 species
UACGAAGGGGGCUAGCGUUGCUCGGAAUCACUGGGCGUAAAGCGCACGUAGGCGGAUUGCUAAGUCAGGGGUGAAAUCCUGGAGCUCAACUCCAGAACUGCCUUUGAUACUGGCGAUCUGGAGUAUGGAAGAGGUGAGUGGAAUUCCGAGUGUAGAGGUGAAAUUCGUAGAUAUUCGGAGGAACACCAGUGGCGAAGGCGGCUCACUGGUCCAUUACUGACGCUGAGGCGCGAAGGCGUGGGGAGCGAACGGG